AGAGUUUGAUCCUGGCUCAGGACGAACGCUGGCGGCGUGCUUAACACAUGCAAGUCGAACGGGGAAUUGUGCUUCGGCAGAAUUCCUAGUGGCGAACGGGUGAGUAACGCGUAGGCAACCUGCCCUUCAGACGGGGACAACAUUCCGAAAGGGGUGCUAAUACCGGAUACGAAGCUUCUGCCGCAUGACGGAAGCUUGAAAGGCGCUUUCAAGCGCCGCUGAAGGAUGGGCCUGCGUCCGAUUAGCUUGUUGGUGGGGUAACGGCCCACCAAGGCGACGAUCGGUAGCCGGUCUGAGAGGAUGAACGGCCACAUUGGGACUGAGACACGGCCCAGACUCCUACGGGAGGCAGCAGUGGGGAAUCUUCCGCAAUGGGCGAAAGCCUGACGGAGCAACGCCGCGUGAGUGAUGAAGUUCUUCGGAACGUAAAACUCUGUUGUUCACGACGAACGGGGGGACCAGGAAAUGGGUUCCCAGUGACGGUAGUGAACGAGGAAGCCACGGCUAACUACGUGCCAGCAGCCGCGGUAAUACGUAGGUGGCAAGCGUUGUCCGGAAUUAUUGGGCGUAAAGCGCAUGUAGGCGGUUCCCUAAGUCGGUCGUGAAAAUGCGGUGCUUAACGCCGUAUGGCGAUCGAAACUGGGGGACUUGAGUGCAGGAGAGGAAAGGGGAACUCCCAGUGUAGCGGUGAAAUGCGUAGAUAUUGGGAAGAACACCGGUGGCGAAGGCGCCUUUCUGGACUGUGUCUGACGCUGAGAUGCGAAAGCCAGGGUAGCGAACGGGAUUAGAUACCCCGGUAGUCCUGGCCGUAAACGAUGGGUACUAGGUGUGGGAGGUAUCGACCCCUUCCGUGCCGGAGUUAACGCAAUAAGUACCCCGCCUGGGGAGUACGGCCGCAAGGCUUAAACUCAAAGGAAUUGACGGGGGCCCGCACAAGCGGUGGAGUAUGUGGUUUAAUUCGACGCAACGCGAAGAACCUUACCAAGGCUUGACAUUGAGUGAAAGACCUAGAGAUAGGUCCCCUUCUUCGGAAGCACGAAAACAGGUGGUGCAUGGCUGUCGUCAGCUCGUGUCGUGAGAUGUUGGGUUAAGUCCCGCAACGAGCGCAACCC
rnacentral:rRNA from 1 species